CCCAUGUUCAGAGCUUCAAAAUAUCUGACAAGCUGAGCCAAUUGUUCGGCUAAAUAAUGGCAGUGAUGCUGUUCUUCUUUGCCUUGGUGACCGUUCCAAGAUGGGCCUUUUCAGAUGUUCAGCUGGUAUCAUCUGGGUCAGGAACGCUGAGACCUGGACAGAACCUCCACCUGGUCUGCAAAGUGACAGGUGUCUCCAUCUCUAGUAGCAUCAAUGCUUGGAACUGGAUCCGUCAGUCUCCUUGGAAAGGACUGGAAUGGUUUGCAUACAUAUACCCACAUAAUGGGAACAAAAGGUACGCCUCUUCUCUCCAGAGCCGUGCCACCAUUUCUGCAGACACCUCCAAGAACCAGUUCUCCCUCCAGCUGAACUCCGUGACUGCUGCCGACUCUGCAGUUUAUUUCUGUGCCCGAGAGUCACACACAGUGAAACAAAGUCCAUUGGGAGCUCAUCAAAAAGAGGAACACACAGUUCUAGUUUUAUUUCACGUUGACAAGUCUUAA